AAGGGAGACCUAAUUCCGGUAGGAGACGAAAAAAAAGUAGUCCCAACCAAGAAUCAAUCCCAAAAGGUCGGAGCGAGGCGAAAUUGGCUUUCAAACUAGGUUCUGGGUUCACACAAGACCUGAAUCAGGAACAAGGGCUAUUAGCUCAGGUGGUUAGAGCGCACCCCUGAUAAGGGUGAGGUCCCUGGUUCGAGUCCAGGAUGGCCCACCUGUACAGGUGGAAGAAAGAAAAGAAGCUCCGAAUCAGCACCUUAUCUUACUUAUAUAGUAAGAGAGAAUGCUGGCUCUGAGUACAGAGUCCAGAGGAACCUUGAAAACUGCAUAGAGCUAGGUGAAAAAGCCAAAAAAGAAGACCGCAA
rnacentral:tRNA from 1 species